rnacentral:lncRNA from 1 species
CUUUAUUUUGAAUUGAAAGAAACUUGUAAAUGGGGAUAUACUUUUAUUCAUUAUAAAAGGAAUGGUGGAGUAAAUCAAACCCCUUUCUAUUUUUGGUUUAAUUUUUGGUGAUGGACGAAUGAAAGAGAUAAUUGUGACCUAGCUCUUGUGUCACUCUGACGACUAUUUCCAACUUGUGUGCAUAACACGUAUAACAUCAUAUUUACGUUUGUUGUUGUUUAGAUUCAUUAUUGUGUCAGCAUUGAUGACGCGAGUUUAUUUCAUGGCUAUAUAAUUGAUAUGGUUAGUUGGGUUCACAUGAGAAUAUGAAUAAAAUCCUAGAAUAAAAUUUUGUUUUCGUUCAAGAAUCACGGUACUGCGGAGUUGUUAAAAUGUUUUAUCCUUACUUAGUGGUUGAAAUUUGGGGGACGAGAUUUAUUUUAACGGGGGGUGAUUGUAAUACCCUAAAAAUUUAAAUAUAUGAAUUACAUAUUCAUAAUUAUGAAUAUGUGAAGAAAAUCAAAAGUAAAUCGAUGUAUGGGUACGGAAAUAAAAUUUGGGAAAUUGUAAAGUUUUGUUUCUAGACAUUAUGAUAAUAUAUGUAUUGGUCUUAUUGAGUUUUUUUGUUAUUUUUCGAGAAAUUAUAUUAAAUUGUUUGAGAUUAGUUUUUAAAUUAAACUAAUUACGAGGUUUAAAGUUUGGAAAUUAAUUAUUUAAAAUUUAUAGACCUUUUGAGGUCACAAUUUAUAUUUUUGAAUAGAGCUCGAUCUCAUGAAUGUGUAGGCGCAAACUGUUCGUGAAACGGUGUUUUAUCGAAGAAGUUAUUAACGUUUAAAGUUGGGGGCAAUUUAGUAAAAUAGCUGAGUUCAAGAUAACUCCAUAUUUUUAAAGAAAAAUCUGGAAGGCCACAUGUGUGGCCGAGAUUUGAAGACAAAAAAGAUGGGCGGUGGAGAUGGUUUAUAAAGGAGGGAAAGAAGGGAGAGAGGAGCCAAUAAGGAAAGGGGGAGAUGAUUGAGGGACCAAUGGGGAGAGAGAACCGGGAGGGAAAGGAGAGAAAG